rnacentral:tRNA from 1 species
GCGUUGGUGGUUCAGUGGUAGAAUUCUCGCCUGCCACGCGGGAGACCGGGGUUCGAUUCCCCGCCAACGAA